rnacentral:misc_RNA from 1 species
GAAAAAUUUAGAGACUAUAAUCAGUGGUUUGUUUCAAAAUUUCCUCAAACUGCCCCAAACAAGAUACUGCACGUCCUUAUAUUGUAAACAGUGUGAAUAUCAUUAAUAAGUGCAAAUUACUUCACAAAUAUCAUGAAGAAUGCAAUCACCUAAGCCCUGUCUGCUGCUGAUAAUAUUAACUAUAUCGUAUAUGCUAAAAUUAAGUAGACAGUCUAAUAAAAAAUAUUAAUGGAAUCAGAAUGGAAAAAAUGAAGUAGACCAAGCAUUGAUUAAAAGUUUUCAGAAAUCUUCACAAGUUUUAGAAAGCACCCAAUGCAAUAGUCUUGAGUUUUGAGAGUGGGUAAUAGCAGUAUAAGGAUGAAAGCAAACAGAUGACUAAUGAAAAAUUAAAAGGUACUGCCAACCAGGACACAUGAGAGGCACAUGGUAGAAUUAAUUGAUCUAUGGCCAUCAGAGAUUGCAUCAUUAAAGAACAACAUGAUGCCUUUGAACCCUUGAACAUGCUCACAAGAUAAAGGCCAAGAAGACCUUGAGUCAAAAAAAUUAAUUUAGAUGUAUUGUUGCAUAAAGGUACAUUUGCAUAUGUGUGCCAGUGAGCAAAGAUUCAUGUGAGGCUUUCUUGAGGUGUCUAGAGUUUCCAUUAAAUGUAAGCAAUUAAACAAUUUAAUCGACUGAAAAACAAAAUUAAUGGGAGGUUUUAGGUUGCGAGAUCUAUUGGGUAUGGCACACUAUUGGUGGUUAGACCAAAUAAUUCAUGUUUGCCGAAUAAAACUAUUCUCCAGUUAUCCAUACGUUCCCACCUAGGUUUCAACCCUAACUUCUAGAAUCAGCCAGGCCUUUGAUGAAGACAAGCGCACGUGUUAAAAGAUCUCUAUCCAUCAAAGAUCAUAGCUCACAAAUUAAUAUGGUCAGAUAAAUGUUAAGGCCCUUGUGCCCUAAAUUGUUAUGCUGCCAUCAUAUAACUACAAAGGCUUUCCUCAUGAAAAAAAAUCCCAAAAAUGCCAGCAAAUUGAAAGCUAAGGUUGCUUUAACAUGCAAAAGAUGAUGUUUUUACCUUCUUCUGUAACAAGGGCAACAACAGUUUCUGAUAAAUUCUGCAGAACACUCCCACCACUCCAAGGAUCCAGUAGACCAUUAGAGAAAAUGAUGUUGCUUCCAAAUUUUUCCAGCACAGUCUUGAUAUCAUGUCCACCAAAUUCAGUUGUUAUCCAUCUAGGCCUAGGCACAACCCUGAAUUCCUUCCAGCAUUCUUCCUUGAAAGAAGUAUAAUUAAAAUUAUAAGUUGGAAACAUGCUUGCAUCCUUGCUGCUAGCCAUUGGCAUCACCAUCUCAGUACAAGCCUGCCAAUUCCAACCAUCCAAGCCAUGAGGAUCAUCAUCCAGUUCAAAGCAGUCAACAUUCCCACUAUAAUUGUAAUAGAUGCUUACUCCUUCAAAAAUGCGCUCCAGAAUGCUAGUCCCAUCAGGACAACCAUCAAUUUUUUUGCAAACCUAAAGCAAAUAAAUAAAUACAAAUUCAAAACAAAAGGGGAACCUCAUAAGAAAGUAUAGCCAAGUCCCUAAAUAAAAUUUUAAAAUAUUUACAAAGAAAAAAGACGAACGUUAAACUGCAAUGUCCCAUGCAGAAAGAGGCUAAAAUAUAAUCCAUAAAUUAAAAUAAGACAAAAACAUUCAACUCUAGAACAACAGAUCCUGACAACUCAUUUCAUAAAAUCAAGAAAAAUGCAGGUCAUACCCAAAUAAAAUCACAUUUUCCAUUCACUGAAAAUAAACUUAUUAUAGAUUCUCAUGUGAACCUGUACUUCUACGUUAGCUAGAAGAAUUACCAAGGUCCUGUAUGUAUGCAAGUGAACGGCAUUGGUAUAAUUUCAAAAAUGCAGAGAGUUCACAGUAACCUCUCUUAUGGGGUGUCCGGGCAGAGGCAUCAUAAAUGCGGAAGGAUAGGGAUAGUCCACCAUUGCCAAAUAACUAUAAGCAGAGUCCAGCCAGUCUGCAAGCUCUUCCGUUCUAUUUAAUUCCCGACACAGGCGAAAAGUUUUGGUUAAUUGCACAAGUCCAUUCUCUUUCUGACCCUCAGAUACUAAUGCUUCCCAUGACUCUUUUACAGUGUUAAAGCAACUGCUGCUUUCACGCUUGAAAUCGUUGGAGACGAUGUUAUAAAAAGUUUCCGGUGGCACAAUAUCUUCAAAUUGAAGAAUCGGCGCAGAUGAAGCAAGUGCACCGAUCGCUAUAUGAGGAUACUUCAGCCUCAUCCACGCCGCUAGCAUUCCACCGUACGAUCCACCGAAUAACACCACUGGACAACCCUCCGCCGAUAAGUUCCUCUUCAAGUCCGUAAUCAGCACCGCGAAAUCAGCCAGCGCUUGCUCCGCCGUUAGAUACGAUAGUGUAGUUGCGUUCUUAUACGCCACGUCCCUGCUCCCAAAUGGCAUUGACUCUCCAUAAUACCGAUGCUCAGGGAAAACGACCAUGGCGCCGAAACGGGGCGCGAUAUCCCAGACAAAGCCAGUGUUGAGUGCGAACCAUUCGAUGUCGCCUUCAUUUCCGCAGUAGAGGAAGAUAGGACCCAAACGGUCGGGACCCACCCAGUGCUCAGUGUUUAUCAGGUAGCGUUGGGGGAAACUCGGGAGUUCCGAGAAGCUGAAGUGGUCGAGUCUCUGAUAAAAGUAUCGGGUCUCGUAUCGGUACUCUCGCUGCUGCAGGGGUUUGAUCUGGUGUGAGAAUUUGCCAAGGAAGCGUGGGGCUCGUUUGGACAAGGGGAAAUUGGAGAAGCGGGAUGCAAGUGAUGGUGGGGAAGCUGUGGAGAUGAUGAAGAUGAUGAUCAGAAGGAGAUGAGGCAUUAGAAUGGUGGAUAAAUUGGGGAAUGCCAUUUCGGUGGAGCUUCAGUUUCAGUUAUGAGCUGCUAAUGGUAGACCUUCG